rnacentral:rRNA from 1 species
GACGAACGCUGGCGGCGUGCUUAACACAUGCAAGUCGAGCGGGGUCCAACCAGUGGCAACACUGGGGAAGACCUAGCGGCGAACGGGUGAGUAACACGUGAGGAACCUGCCCCGAAGUCUGGGAUAACCCGAGGAAACUCGAGCUAAUACCGGAUACCUCCUUCUGAUCGCAUGGUCGGAAGAAGAAAGAACUUCGCUUCGGGAGGGCCUCGCGGCCUAUCAGCUUGUUGGCGGGGUAACGGCCCACCAAGGCGUCGACGGGUAGCUGGUCUGAGAGGACGAUCAGCCACACUGGGACUGAGACACGGCCCAGACUCCUACGGGAGGCAGCAGUGGGGAAUAUUGCGCAAUGGGCGAAAGCCUGACGCAGCAACGCCGCGUGCGGGAUGAAGGCCUUCGGGUUGUAAACCGCUUUCAGUGGGGACGAAAUUGACGGUACCCACAGAAGAAGCCCCGGCCAACUACGUGCCAGCAGCCGCCGUAA